GAUGAACGCUGGCGGCGUGCCUAAUACAUGCAAGUCGAGCGAACAGACGAGGAGCUUGCUCCUCUGACGUUAGCGGCGGACGGGUGAGUAACACGUGGGUAACCUACCUAUAAGACUGGGAUAACAUCGGGAAACCAGUGCUAAUACCGGAUAAUAUAUUUAAACGUAAGUUUCAAUAGUGAAAGACGCUUUUGCUGCAACUAAUGGAUAGAUCCGCUCGUCAUUAGCAAGUGGGGAGGGUAACGGCUUACAAAGGCAUCGUUGCUUAGCCGACCUGAGAGGGGGAUCGGCCAAAUGGGAACUGAGACAGGGUCCAGACUCCUACGGGGGGCACCAGUGGGGAACUUCCGGAAAGGGGGGAAGGCUGGCCGGGGCAACGCGGGGUGGGUGAUGAAGGUCUCCGGAUGGUAAACCUCUGUUAUUAGGGAGGAAGAAAUGGGUAAGUAACUAUGCACGUCUUGACGGUACCUAAUCAGAAAGCCACGGCUAACUACGUG
rnacentral:rRNA from 1 species